UCAUUUCUUAAUAUGGAUGCUAAAGUAUUUGCAUAUCUUUUAUUACUUCUUUCAGGUAUAGUAAACUUCUCUCUCUAUGUGUGUGUGUAUAUAUCUGUAUUAAAUAAUAAUCACACUUGAAUUGAUUUACAUUAUUGGGCUUUUUGGAGUUGGGACUUUGAGGGCAGUUCAGGGUAAGAAAACAUGGUGUGUUGCAAAGCCAUCAUCGAGUCAAUCGGAACUGUUAGAUAUUGUAAAUUUCGCGUGCUCGCAAAUUGAUUGCAGGAUCUUGGAGAAAGGUGGUGCAUGCUUUUUGCCUGAUAACCUAAUUAACCAUGCAUCCAUAGCUAUGAACAUUUAUUAUCAGUGCAAGGGAAGAAACCCAUGGAAUUGUCAUUUUGGUAACUCUGGUCUCAUCACUCUCACUGACCCAAGUUAUGGAGGUUGCCCAUAUGCGUAAAUGACUGGGAAGAAGAAGAUGGUUGUAGCAUGAGAACCUGUUAAGACCAAAGUUAAUUGUUAUGUAGGUUCAUAUAAUUCAAGAUAGUUCAAUAAUAAAGCAUUAUUU
rnacentral:lncRNA from 1 species